GGAGAGGUCGCAUAGUGGCCUAGUGCGCUCGCUUGGAAAGCGAGUAUACCGCAAGGUAUCGGGAGUUCGAAUCUCCCCCUCUCCG
rnacentral:tRNA from 1 species